CGUGUAGGCGGCUUGGUAAGUCGGAUGUGAAAGUCCCGGGCUCAACCCGGGAAGUGCAUUCGAAACUGCUAGGCUUGAGUAAGAGAGAGGAAAGUGGAAUUCCUGGUGUAGAGGUGAAAUUCGUAGAUAUCAGGAGGAACACCGGUGGCGAAGGCGACUUUCUGGCUCUAUACUGACGCUGAGACGCGAAAGCGUGGGUAGCAAACAGGAUUAGAUACCCUGGUAGUCC
rnacentral:rRNA from 1 species